GGUUAAGCGACUAAGCGUACACGGUGGAUGCCCUGGCAGUCAGAGGCGAUGAAGGACGUGCUAAUCUGCGAAAAGCGUCGGUAAGGUGAUAUGAACCGUUAUAGCCGGCGAUGUCCGAAUGGGGAAACCCAGUGCAAUUCGUUGCACUAUCGUUUGAUGAAUACAUAGUCAAACGAGGCGAACCGGGGGAACUGAAACAUCUAAGUACCCCGAGGAAAAGAAAUCAACCGAGAUUCCCCCAGUAGCGGCGAGCGAACGGGGAGCAGCCCGGAGUCUGAAUCAGCUUGUGUGUUAGUGGAAGCGUCUGGAAAGUCGCAGGGUACAGGGUGAUACUCCCGUACACUAAAACACACAGGCUGUGAACUCGAAGAGUAGGGCGGGACACGUGGUAUCCUGUCUGAAUAUGGGGGGACCAUCCUCCAAGGCUAAAUACUCCUGACUGACCGAUAGUGAACCAGUACCGUGAGGGAAAGGCGAAAAGAACCCCGGCGAGGGGAGUGAAAAAGAACCUGAAACCGUGUACGUACAAGCAGUAGGAGCCUCUUUAUGGGGUGACUGCGUACCUUUUGUAUAAUGGGUCAGCGACUUAUAUUCUGUAGCAAGGUUAACCGUAUAGGGGAGCCGCAGGGAAACCGAGUCUUAACUGGGCGUUAAGUUGCAGGGUAUAGACCCGAAACCCGGUGAUCUAGCCAUGGGCAGGUUGAAGGUUGGGUAACACUAACUGGAGGACCGAACCGACUAAUGUUGAAAAAUUAGCGGAUGACUUGUGGCUGGGGGUGAAAGGCCAAUCAAACCGGGAGAUAGCUGGUUCUCCCCGAAAGCUAUUUAGGUAGCGCCUCGUGAACUCAUCUUCGGGGGUAGAGCACUGUUUCGGCUAGGGGUCAUCCCGACUUACCAACCCGAUGCAAACUACGAAUACCGAAGAAUGUUAUCACGGGAGACACACGGCGGGUGCUAACGUCCGUCGUGAAGAGGGAAACAACCCAGACCGCCAGCUAAGGUCCCAAAGUCAUGGUUAAGUGGGAAACGAUGUGGGAAGGCCCAGACAGCCAGGAUGUUGGCUUAGAAGCAGCCAUCAUUUAAAGAAAGCGUAAUAGCUCACUGGUCGAGUCGGCCUGCGCGGAAGAUGUAACGGGGCUAAACCAUGCACCGAAGCUGCGGCAGCGACACUAUGUGUUGUUGGGUAGGGGAGCGUUCUGUAAGCCGUUGAAGGUGGCCUGUGAGGGUUGCUGGAGGUAUCAGAAGUGCGAAUGCUGACAUAAGUAACGAUAAUGCGGGUGAAAAACCCGCACGCCGGAAGACCAAGGGUUCCUGUCCAACGUUAAUCGGGGCAGGGUGAGUCGACCCCUAAGGCGAGGCCGAAAGGCGUAGUCGAUGGGAAACAGGUUAAUAUUCCUGUACUCGGUGUUACUGCGAAGGGGGGACGGAGAAGGCUAUGUUGGCCGGGCGACGGUUGUCCCGGUUUAAGCAUGUAGGCGGAUGUUCCAGGUAAAUCCGGAACGUUAUCAACGCUGAGGUGUGAUGACGAGGCACUACGGUGCUGAAGUGACAAAUGCCCUGCUUCCAGGAAAAGCCUCUAAGCAUCAGGUAACAUCAAAUCGUACCCCAAACCGACACAGGUGGUCAGGUAGAGAAUACCAAGGCGCUUGAGAGAACUCGGGUGAAGGAACUAGGCAAAAUGGUGCCGUAACUUCGGGAGAAGGCACGCUGAUAUGUAGGUGAAGUGGUUUACCCAUGGAGCUGAAAUCAGUCGAAGAUACCAGCUGGCUGCAACUGUUUAUUAAAAACACAGCACUGUGCAAACACGAAAGUGGACGUAUACGGUGUGACGCCUGCCCGGUGCCGGAAGGUUAAUUGAUGGGGUUAUCCGUAAGGAGAAGCUCUUGAUCGAAGCCCCGGUAAACGGCGGCCGUAACUAUAACGGUCCUAAGGUAGCGAAAUUCCUUGUCGGGUAAGUUCCGACCUGCACGAAUGGCGUAAUGAUGGCCAGGCUGUCUCCACCCGAGACUCAGUGAAAUUGAACUCGCUGUGAAGAUGCAGUGUACCCGCGGCAAGACGGAAAGACCCCGUGAACCUUUACUAUAGCUUGACACUGAACACUGGUCCUUGAUGUGUAGGAUAGGUGGGAGGCUUUGAAGCGUGGACGCCAGUCUGCGUGGAGCCAUCCUUGAAAUACCACCCUUUAAUGGCUGGUGUUCUAACGUGGGCCCGUUAUCCGGGUUGCGGACAGUGUCUGGUGGGUAGUUUGACUGGGGCGGUCUCCUCCUAAAGAGUAACGGAGGAGCACGAAGGUCAGCUAAUCCUGGUCGGACAUCAGGAGGUUAGUGCAAUGGCAUAAGCUGGCUUGACUGCGAGCGUGACGGCGCGAGCAGGUGCGAAAGCAGGUCAUAGUGAUCCGGUGGUUCUGAAUGGAAGGGCCAUCGCUCAACGGAUAAAAGGUACUCCGGGGAUAACAGGCUGAUACCGCCCAAGAGUUCAUAUCGACGGCGGUGUUUGGCACCUCGAUGUCGGCUCAUCACAUCCUGGGGCUGAAGUAGGUCCCAAGGGUAUGGCUGUUCGCCAUUUAAAGUGGUACGCGAGCUGGGUUUAGAACGUCGUGAGACAGUUCGGUCCCUAUCUGCCGUGGGCGCUGGAGAAUUGAGGGGGCUGCUCCUAGUACGAGAGGACCGGAGUGGACGCAUCACUGGUGUUCGGGUUGUCAUGCCAAUGGCAUUGCCCGGUAGCUAAAUGCGGAAGAGAUAAGUGCUGAAAGCAUCUAAGCACGAAACUUGCCCCGAGAUGAGUUCUCCCUGACUCCUUGAGAGUCCUGAAGGAACGUUGAAGACGACGACGUUGAUAGGCCGGGUGUGUAAGCGCAGCGAUGCGUUGAGCUAACCGGUACUAAUGAACCGUGAGGCUUAACCUU
rnacentral:rRNA from 1 species